CAGUCGCCGCGGUAACACGGAGGGUGCAAGCGUUACUCGGAAUUACUGGGCGUAAAGCGUGCGUAGGUGGUUGUUUAAGUCUGUUGUGAAAGCCCUGGGCUCAACCUGGGAAUUGCAGUGGAUACUGGGCGACUAGAGUGUGGUAGAGGGUAGUGGAAUUCCCGGUGUAGCAGUGAAAUGCGUAGAGAUCGGGAGGAACAUCCAUGGCGAAGGCAGCUACCUGGACCAACACUGACGCUGAGGCUCGAAAGCGUGGGGAGCAAACAGGAUUAGAUACCCCCGUAGUCCCUGUCUCUUAUAC
rnacentral:rRNA from 1 species